CUAGCCGUAAACGAUGGGUACUAGGUGUGGGAGGUAUCGACCCCUUCCGUGCCGGAGUUAACGCAAUAAGUACCCCGCCUGGGGACUACGAUCGCAAGAUUGAAACUCAAAGGAAUUGACGGGGGCCCGCACAAGCGGUGGAGUAUGUGGUUUAAUUCGAAGCAACGCGAAGAACCUUACCAGGCCUUGACAUCCAAUGAACUUUCUAGAGAUAGAUUGGUGCCUUCGGGAACAUUGAGACAGGUGC
rnacentral:rRNA from 1 species